rnacentral:rRNA from 1 species
GACGAACGCUGGCGGCGUGCCUAAUACAUGCAAGUAGAACGCUGAAGGAGGAGCUUGCUUCUCUGGAUGAGUUGCGAACGGGUGAGUAACGCGUAGGUAACCUGCCUGGCAGCGGGGGAUAACUAUUGGAAACGAUAGCUAAUACCGCAUAAUAGUAGAUGUUGCAUGACAUUUACUUAAAAGGUGUAAUUGCAUCACUACCAGAUUGACCUGCGUUGUAUUAGCUAGUUGGUGGGGUAACGGCUCACCAAGGCGACGAUACAUAGCGGACCUGAGAGGGUAAUCGGCAAAACUGGGACUGAGACACGGCCCAGAACCCUACGGGAGGCAGCAGUAGGGAAUCUUCGGCAAUGGACGAAAGGCUGACCGAGAGACGCCGCGUGAGUGAAGAAGGUUUUCGGAUCGUAAAGCUCUGUUAUAAGAGAAGGACGAGUGGGAGAGUGGAAAGUUCACACUGUGACGGUAUCUGACCAGAAAGGGACGGCUAACUCCGUG